AGCCUGAACGCUGGCGGCGUGGCUAAGACAUGCAAGUCGCACGGUGUAGCAAUACACAGUGGCGAACGGGUGAGUAAUGAAUCGCUAAUGUACCCCGGACUCUGGGAUAGCUACCCGAAAGGGUAGGUAAUACCAGAUGAGACCACGAUCAGGCAUCUGAUUGUGCUCAAAGGUCCGCCGGUCUGGGAGCAGGCGAUUUCGUAUCAGCUAGUUGGUGAGGUAACGGCUCACCAAGGCGACGACGCGUAGCCGGACUGAGAGGUUGGCCGGCCACAUUGGGACUGAGACACUGCCCAGACUCCGUACGGGGGGCUGCCAGUAACGAAUCUUCCGCAAUGCACGAAAGUGUAGACGGAGCGACGCCGCGUGUAGGACGAAGCCUUGGGGUGUAAACUACUGUCGUAGGGUUAGAAAGUUCUAGAUACAACCCCGAGAAGGAACGCGAACGGCUAACUCUCGU
rnacentral:rRNA from 1 species